CGUGCCAGCAGCCGCGGUAAUACAUAGGUCACAAGCGUUAUCCGGAAUUAUUGGGCGUAAAGCGUUCGUAGGCGGUUUGUUAAGUCUGGAGUUAAAGACUGGGGCUCAACCCCAGCCCGCUCUGGAUACUGGCUGACUAGAGUUACAUAGAGGUAAGUGGAAUUCUUAGUGGAGCGGUGGAAUGCGUAGAUAUUAGGAAGAACACCAAUGGCGAAGGCAGCUUACUGGAUGUACACUGACGCUCAGGGACGAAAGCGUGGGGAGCAAACAGGAUUAGAUACCCUGGUAGUCCACGCCGUAAACGAUGAUCAUUAGCCGCUAGAAUAUUUAGUGGCGCAGCUAACGCAUUAAAUGAUCCGCCUGAGUAGUAUGCUCGCAAGAGUGAAACUUAAAGGAAUUGACGGGGACCCGCACAAGCGGUGGAGCAUGUGGUUUAAUUUGAAGAUACGCGUAGAACCUUACCCACUCUUGACAUCUUCCGCAAUACUAUGGAGACAUAGUGGAGGUUAACGGAAUGACAGAUGGUGCAUGGUUGUCGUCAGCUCGUGCCGUGAGGUGUUAGGUUAAGUCCUGCAACGAGCGCAACCCCUGUCUUUAGUUACUAACGGAUAAUGCCGAGGACUCUAGAGAGACUGACUGGGUAACCAGUAGGAAGGUGGGGACGACGUCAAAUCAUCAUGCCUCUUACGAGUGGGGCAACACACGUGCUACAAUGGACGGUACAAAGAGAAGCAAUAUGGUGACAUGG
rnacentral:rRNA from 1 species